rnacentral:lncRNA from 1 species
AGGCAUGCAAAGAAUCUGCAGGGGAGUUGUAAGUGGGUGGGGGUGGUGAAGAAUCUAAAAGAGUCUGUAACGAGAUACUGAAGCUUUCCAGGAGUGAGUGUGUGUGCGAGCGAGGGAGACAGACAGCCAGAGGAAGAAAGGGGGCAGUGUGGUCUAGUACAUUUCAUCUGGUCGUUGAUUCGAGCCUGAUGCUUGCUGUCCCUCAACAGCCUCCCUUGCCUGAUUUUUUUCUUCUCCCCCCCCCUCUCCUUUUGCCUUCUACUUCGCCGAAGCCUAGGGGAGCCAGUAAAGAUUAAAUGUGCUUUCUAAAAGGCAGCCACUUCAUGCAGCUAUGUCUGCUUCCCCUCACUACCACCGCCACUAACCCCCCUUUUAAAUAAAAUAAGAGCGAGACCGAGGAGGAGGAGGAGGAGGAAUAUAGUUUAAUGAUGCCGGGACUGGCUGAUCCAGAUGGAAAAACGGAGAAAAGAGCCGAGAUCCCGGGCGAGGAAGACCCUGGUGAAUGGUCGGAGACUCCAGAGGCUGGAACCUUCCCCACUUCCAAAUGAGACAGCACCGUCACGUGGAUUGAGUGGAAGACUGGGCGUCGG